rnacentral:rRNA from 1 species
GAUGAACGCUGGCGGCGUGCCUAAUACAUGCAAGUCGAGCGAACGGACGAGAAGCUUGCUCCUCUGAUGUUAGCGGCGGACGGGUGAGUAACACGUGGAUAACCUACCUAUAAGACUGGGAUAACUUCGGGAAACCGGAGCUAAUACCGGAUAAUAUUUUGAACCGCAUGGUUCAAAAGUGAAAGACGGUCUUGCUGUCACUUAUAGAUGGAUCCGCGCUGCAUUAGCUAGUUGGUAAGGUAACGGCUUACCAAGGCGACGAUGCAUAGCCGACCUGAGAGGGUGAUCGGCCACACUGGAACUGAGACACGGUCCAGACUCCUACGGGAGGCAGCAGUAGGGAAUCUUCCGCAAUGGGCGAAAGCCUGACGGAGCAACGCCGCGUGAGUGAUGAAGGUCUUCGGAUCGUAAAACUCUGUUAUUAGGGAAGAACAUAUGUGUAAGUAACUGUGCACAUCUUGACGGUACCUAAUCAGAAAGCCACGGCUAACUACGUG